rnacentral:misc_RNA from 1 species
GAUGAAGAACGCAGCGAAAUGCGAUAAGUAGUGUGAAUUGCAGAAUUCAGUGAAUCAUCGAAUCUUUGAACGCACAUUGCGCCCCAUGGUAUUCCGUGGGGCAUGCCUGUUCGAGCGUCAUUUACCCCCUCAAGCUCCGCUUGGUGUUGGGCGUCUGUCCCGCUUCGCGCGCGGACUCGCCCCAAAGGUAUUGGCAGCGGUCGUGCCAGCUUCUCGCGCAGCACAUUGCGCUUCUCGAGGCACCGGUGGGCCCGCGUCCAUCAAGUUCACCCCCCCAGUUUGACCUCGGAUCAGGUAGGGAUACCCGCUGAACUUAAGCAUAUCAAUAAGCGGAGGA